rnacentral:rRNA from 1 species
UACGAAGGGUGCAAACGUUGCUCGGAAUUAUUGGGCGUAAAGCGCACGUAGGCGGCUUUGCAAGUCCCAUGUGAAAUCCCACGGCUCAACCGUGGAAGUGCAUGGGAAACUGCAGAGCUUGAGUACUUAAGAGGAUCGCGGAAUUCCCGGUGUAGAGGUGAAAUUCGUAGAUAUCGGGAGGAACACCAGUGGCGAAGGCGGCGAACUGGAUAGGUACUGACACUCAACAACGAAAGCGUGGGGAGCAAACAGG